CUCCGGAACCGCGCAGCUGGCUGUUGAGAUUACUCCUGGACGAUGACGUGGACGACGCACCCGACUGGUACUGGGCUGGCACAUCGCCGACCGUUUUAUUCGGUGGGGCUUUGACGUAGGUUCGCGGAAUUUCCGAUUGCUGAGGAGGAGAAAAAGAAAAGGAUUUUACAGUUCUCUUUUUCUGGAGACAAAAUUAUUUCAUGAGAAAAUAACAUACGAAUGGCAGUCAUUCGCAUAUUAUAUAUGCUAAGAAUGCAUGACAAACAGUGAUAAAAAUCAUUCUUUCAAUUUACGCAGCACCCUUCAGAUACAUAAGAUUUUUAUUCUCGUAACGAGCUGUCAUACUCCGAUGGAAUGUUUCAUGCACCUUGUUCACGGUCACGUAAUAAAAUUUAUUGUAAAAACAACGAAGUAAGCUUUACUGUUCCUUUGAUAAAGUGAAAAUGAAAAUCAUACAGCAAUCGUUAUCAUAAUGAAACACCAACAUUGGUCCAAGACCGAGCUUUCUGGAACCGGUUACUUUUGGGCUAAAGUACACAUGCCGAAUUAACAAGACUUACACAACAAAACUCAAAGUAAUCAAUUUUGAGCAAAUUUGUAACGGUGAAAUUCUAACGAAUACGUUUUCACGCAACUAACGGAUGACUUCACUUUCUUGUUUUAUAAAUAAUGGAAGAACUGAAAAAACGAAGGUAGAGAGAAUGAACAUUGCACGAUAGUGAAAUAUUUCGUUGCCAUCGUAAGACUAAUGUUUAUGGCGCUGAAAAGUUUCAGCCCUGAUGACAUAUGAACACUGGUUUGCAAUACACUGCGAUCAUCUUUUGUUGCUAGCCACGACUGCUGUACAUACGUUUUUUUUUCCUGUGUGAACUCAUGACUGCGACCAGAGACAUUAGAUCUCUGGUGCAGACCCAAUGAAUUAUUAUCUUGAGAGUCAGUAAGUACAGGGUGCGGCAGGAAAAGAUGCGAAAAUGUAUGGUAUUACUUCAAAUCCCAUUUUAACUACUUUAAAAAAUAAUAUCAAAAUUUUCGAGUUCGUAAUAUUUAUAUUAGGUUCUUUCAAAGCAAUCUACUUGAUGUAUCCUCCAUUUUUAGCAAUAACAUCCGUAAGGCAACGCCGGACACAGAGCAUGUCUGUCGAACGCAGUCCUCCGAUAUCGAUAACCACCUGCGUGUUAUGACAGGCUUCGAAGCCGUCAAACAAGGAUGAGAUGUUUUGAGGACUUGUGCUACAACAUACACCCAAAUUAAAUAAUCCUUGGAUCUCUUGGAAAGGGUCGCUCGUAGUUUUUUAUCCCCCUCCGUAAUGAAGUGGUGUUUGGUUCUAGCUUUGGAAGAUGCGUGAAGUCUGCUAUGAAGAUUCUUUAAAUCGAUUUUACAGAAAUAUUGGAUUCUUUGGCAAGUUUCCUGAUGAAACUGAGCAAUGAGCAAAUUGAUCACGUUUAGCGCAGGUACGUGCAAACCGCGGACCUAAAUAUUAAAGUUUACACAUUUUCGCGGUUUUUCCUGCCGCACCCUGUAUUUAAAUUGUUCUUGAUACAAUGCUCUGCUAUGGAUGAUGAGUGGAUUUGUGCAGCGAGGUUAGAAGCCGACAUGACAUUUGUGUCUAAGAGGUUAGAAACUGAGCUGGAGCAGUUCUACCGCACCAGUGAAACGCGGAUGUUCUAUGAGAGGGUAAACUAGUCUCGCAGAGACUAUGUGCUGCAAGCCUACAUGUGCAAUGACACGAAUGGGAAACUUCUCACGGAUGCCAGCUAGGUGGUGACAGGUGGAAGAAGUAUUUCGAUGGACUGAAUGGUGAUACAGUAAACAGAAGUGGAGCAGGCACAGACCUAGUAGCACCAGCAGCAGAUGAUCGAGUACCAGCCCCCGAUGUUCGUGAAGUUCUUUGUGAAAUCGGGAAGCUGAAGAACAACUAAGCCGCAGGCAAAGACGGACUGCCAAGCGAGCUCUUUAAACAUGGUAGAGUGGCGCUGGCUAGAGCGCUGCAAUGAGUCAUAUCCAGGAUUUGGGAGGAGGAAAAACUGUCAGGCGAGAGGAUGGAGGGAGUCGUCUGCCCCAUCUACAAUAGGGGCGACAAGCUGUAGUGCCGAAACUACCGCGGUAUCUCGCUUAUCAAUGCCGCCUACAAAAUAUUCUCACAGAUCCAGUUCCGUCGCCUAUCACCUUUAACCAGGAGAUUCAUGGGCCAAUACUAAGCGGGCUUCAUUCGAGCCCUUGCCACCACGAACCAUUUCUUUUCAAUCCGAAAGAUCUAUAGAAAUGUCGCGAGUACAAAAUGCCCACACAUCACAUCUUCAUCGACUUCACGGCGGUCUAUGAUACAGUCGAUCGAAAAUAGUAAUGGCAGAUCGUGCACGACAACGGAUUCCCGGAUAAACUGACUUGAUUAAUCAAAGCCACCAUGGCGUGUGUGGUUCGGGGAUACUCUCGAGCCCUUUUGAAUCGCGCAGAGAGUUAAUACAAGGUGAUGGACCUUCUUGAUUGCUAUUUAACUUCGCCCUUUAGAGUAUGAUCCGAAGGGCAGGCAUCGACACGAGGGGCACGAUUUUCAAAAGUUUCACUGGUGACCGCCGAAGAGACGAUGAUUUCGGCGAAAAAUUUGCUAGCUUGAAAAUCAGGUGCCCACUGCGCAGGAAAUAAACAUUACUAGGGUAUUUUGCCAAUUGUUGCACACCACCCAAUUAUUGCACACUUCACACUUUUUGUAACUAUUAUCGGCGGUUAAUUUGGUUAUAUGUUAUUUCUUUAUUAUAUCGCCCGCAGAAUUUUAUAACCCGUUGAAUAUUAUAAGUGUUUUUGUAAUUCAAAGUAAUUUUUUAAACUUUAUAAUGAUUUUUUUCACAGGUGUCCCAGUUUCGCUGUUGCGAAGCGAUUUUCUUAUCUUCAUACUUAAGAAAGUAGAUUUUUAUAAUAAGCGUUUAUCGAUCGUUAAAUACAAACACACAGGUUCGAUGGCUUCCAGAUAAUCGGUAAAGCUUAUCUUUUCUUAACAGCUCAUUAAAAAUCUGUCUAUAUGCUAGAAAAGAUAGAUAAAUUCACAAGUUUAAUAAUUGGAACGACGAACGACAGUUUUUCCAAUUUUAUUGCACACUCCUAACCUCUUUUUUCUGCAUCGGGCAUUUGACAGUUCGCUCCUCUGCGGUGUUGUUUUUGUUUAUCUAUGCAAGCGGUAGGAGCCGUAGCUUUUCGUACCGCAGUUUAUCCUGUUUUUCGCCGAUUCUCACGAGGUUACCAGGUCAAUAAUGGAUAUAAAGCGAAGCACCUUUCCGAUUCCGAAACCCAGCAUUUCAGCUCCCCUUCCAGUGAAAAGUUGUAAAAAGUACACGGAAGACUCUCUUCGACGGGCUGCUGUCGCCGUGAAAACCAGUGCAAUGACGUUGGGGCCGGCAUCCAAAUGCUUCGGAGUGCCGAAAUCUUUAAUUAGGUUUCGAUUGAGUCUAAAAUGAACUAGAAAAUUUCCGGUCUGCAAACUAUGCUCACGACUGAAGAGGAAUCGAAGCUUGUAACUUGGCUGCAGGAAAUGGAGCGUCGUGGUUAUCCCUGUACGAAGCAUACUCUUAUUUCGAGGGUUAAAGCCUUCUUGGACAAAAGCCCGCGUGACUCUUUGUUCAAAAAUAACACGCCAGCCAGCUUUUCGAACUCCGGAGAGUAUUUCUAUGUCCAGCGUGACCUUACGUGAAUUGGACCUUCGGAGCUGGUUUGAACACAUUCGCAAUUACGCGACGGAUCAUAAAAUCGAGGAUAUUUUCAAAGACCCGCGACGUGUUCUUAAUGGCGAUGAAACUUCGUUUGUUUUCGAUCCCAUCACAAAAGCUGUUGUUGCAUCCAAAGGAAAUCGGAAUGUUUAUUUGGUCCAGAAAGCAGAUCCCAAAAAGAACGUAACGGUAAAAAAAUCCAUGACGGACGAUUAGCAAGAGUGUCUGCUUACAAACGAAAACAUCAUCAUAUGAUUUUUUUUUUGCACUGGUUAUUUUGAUUGUCCAGAACAUUCACAAAAUAAAAAUGUG